rnacentral:rRNA from 1 species
AAGCGGCAACAGCUCAAAUUUGAAAUCUGGCUUCGGCCCGAGUUGUAAUUUGCAGAGGAUGUUUAUGGUGCGGUACUUUCCGAGUUCCCUGGAACGGGACGCCACAGAGGGUGAGAGCCCCGUCUGGAUGGAUACCAAACCUGUGUUAAACUCCUUCAACGAGUCGAGUAGUUUGGGAAUGCUGCUCUAAAUGGGAGGUAAAUCUCUUCUAAAGCUAAAUAUAGGCCAGAGACCGAUAGCGCACAAGUAGAGUGAUCGAAAGAUGAAAAGCACCUUGAAAAGGGGGUUAAACAGUACGUGAAAUUGUUGAAAGGGAAGCGUUUAUGACCAGACUUGUGUCGUGUGGCUCAUCCGAGGUUCUCCCCGGUGCACUCCACACGGCUCAGGCCAACAUCGGUUUUUGUCGAAGGAUAAGAAUAGUAGGAACGUAGCUCUUCCUCGGAAGAGUGUUAUAGCCUAUUAUACGAUACUUUGAUAGAGACCGAGGACCG